rnacentral:rRNA from 1 species
GAAAGAAUAUCGGAGACGGAUGGGCAUGCGGCGCAUUAGCUAGUUGGCGGGGUAACGGCCCACCAAGGCGACGAUGCGUAGGGGUUCUGAGAGGAAGGUCCCCCACACUGGUACUGAGACACGGACCAGACUCCUACGGGAGGCAGCAGUGAGGAAUAUUGGUCAAUGGGCGAGAGCCUGAACCAGCCAAGUCGCGUGAGGGAGUACUGCCCUAUGGGUUGUAAACCUCUUUUGUCGGGGAGCAAAAGCCGGACGUGUCCGUCUGUGAGAGUACCCGAAGAAAAAGCAUCGGCUAACUCCGUGCCAGCAGCCGCGGUAAUACGGAGGAUGCGAGCGUUAUCCGGAUUUAUUGGGUUUAAAGGGUGCGCAGGCGGAUUUUUAAGUCAGCGGUCAAAUCGUGGGGCUCAACCCCAUCCAGCCGUUGAAACUGGGGAUCUAGAGUGUGCGAGAGGUAUGCGGAAUGCGUGGUGUAGCGGUGAAAUGCAUAGAUAUCACGCAGAACCCCGAUUGCGAAGGCAGCAUACCGGUGCACAACUGACGCUCAGGCGCGAAAGCGUGGGUAUCGAACAGGAUUAGAUACCCUGGUAGUCCACGCAGUAAACGAUGAAUGCUACCUGUUUGGCCAGAUUGAAGGCUGA